rnacentral:rRNA from 1 species
AAAACCGUGGGAGGUUGGGCCGCUAGAACCCUACACUCGGUAAUGAUCUUCCCGUAUGGGGUACCUGCGGAAGGAUCAUUACCGAGUGUAGGGUUCCUAGCGAGCCCAACCUCCCACCCGUGUUUACUGUACCUUAGUUGCUUCGGCGGGCCCGCCAUUCAUGGCCGCCGGGGGCUCUCAGCCCCGGGCCCGCGCCCGCCGGAGACACCACGAACUCUGUCUGAUCUAGUGAAGUCUGAGUUGAUUGUAUCGCAAUCAGUUAAAACUUUCAACAAUGGAUCUCUUGGUUCCGGCAUCGAUGAAGAACGCAGCGAAAUGCGAUAACUAGUGUGAAUUGCAGAAUUCCGUGAAUCAUCGAGUCUUUGAACGCACAUUGCGCCCCCUGGUAUUCCGGGGGGCAUGCCUGUCCGAGCGUCAUUGCUGCCCAUCAAGCACGGCUUGUGUGUUGGGUCGUCGUCCCCUCUCCGGGGGGGACGGGCCCCAAAGGCAGCGGCGGCACCGCGUCCGAUCCUCGAGCGUAUGGGGCUUUGUCACCCGCUCUGUAGGCCCGGCCGGCGCUUGCCGAACGCAAAUCAAUCUUUUCCAGGUUGACCUCGGAUCAGGUAGGGAUACCCGCUGAACUUAAGCAUAUC